CAGUCUGAAAUGAUGAUUCUUUAAAUUUCAUGUCUCUUCUCUAACUUUUUCUGGAGAUUUGGCCUUAGUGAUCUGAUCAGGCUG
ensembl:snoRNA